rnacentral:tRNA from 1 species
UCCGGAGUAGCUCAAUUGGUGGAGCAGCGCCCUGUUAAGGCGACGGUUGCCGGUUCGAGUCCGGCCUCCGGAG